rnacentral:rRNA from 1 species
AACGACUCUCGACAACGGAUAUCUCGGCUCUUGCAUCGAUGAAGAACGUAGCGAAAUGCGAUACUUGGUGUGAAUUGCAGAAUCCCGURWACCAUCGAGUCUUUGAACGCAAGUUGCGCCCGAAGCCAUUAGGSUGAGGGCACGUCUGCUUGGGUGUCACGC